rnacentral:rRNA from 1 species
AAUUAUCAUUAUUACCCUGAACGGCGGAUCACUCGGCUCGUGGGUCGAUGAAGAACGCAGCUAAAUGCGCGUCAGAGUGUGAACUGCAGGACACAUGAGCAUCGACAUUUCGAACGCACAUUGCGGUCCGAGCAAGACGUAGUUUGUCGACGGACCACUCCUGUUUGAGGGUCGCGC